UACGGGGGGGGCAAGCGUUGUUCGGAAUUACUGGGCGUAAAGGGCUCGUAGGUUGCCAACUAAGUCAGACGUGAAAUCCCUCGGCUUAACCGGGGAACUGCGUCUGAUACUGGAUGGCUUGAGUUCGGGAGAGGGAUGCGGAAUUCCAGGUGUAGCGGUGAAAUGCGUAGAUAUCUGGAGGAACACCGGUGGCGAAGGCGGCAUCCUGGACCAACACUGACGCUGAGGAGCGAAAGCGUGGGGAGCGAACAGG
rnacentral:rRNA from 1 species